rnacentral:rRNA from 1 species
GUAGUCAUACGCUUGUCUCAAAGAUUAAGCCAUGCAUGUCUAAGUAUAAAGGUUACAUACAAUGAAACUGCGAAUGGCUCAUUCAAACAGUUAUAGUUUAUUUGGAUUAAAACAUUUGUUUAAAUGGAUAACCGUAGUAAUUCUAGGGCUAAUACAUGCGUUACGAGGGACUUUUUGGAACCUCAGUAUUUAUUAGAUUUCAAACCAAUAUUCCGCAAGGUCUACUGAGAUGAUUCAUGAUAACUGAUCGAAUUGCCGGUCUACCGGCAAUAAGUCAUUCAUGUUUCUGCUUCCCAUCAGCUUGAUGGUAGUGUAUUGGACAACCAUGGCAUUCACGGGCUAUCGGGGGAUUAGGGUUCGAUUCCGGAGAGGGAGCCUGAGAAACGGCUACCACUUCUACGGAAGGCAGCAGGCGCGAAAAUUAUCCAAUCCUGAUUCAGGGAGGUAGUGAAAGAAAUAAUGAACUAGGAUUUAUCCUGGGGUCACAAUGGGCUUGAUUUGCAAACUUUAUUUAGCGAGGAACAAUUGG